rfam:Myotis brandtii contig166232, whole genome shotgun sequence.
AGCUUUUACGAGGUACCAGCACUUUUCUUUCAUUAGGGGGAAGGAGUGAGGAAAGGACCAAACAGCAGCAGACUUUUAAAACUUUUAAGUACAGGCAGGUCUGAGUGCCUGGACCUGCCUUUUCAUUUUACUUCACCCUCUAAGGAGUUCGAUCAGUUGGCGUGCCUACUUCACUUCUUUUAAGAGAAAGAGUAAGUUUGUUGUUUUG